AAAUUGAAGAGUUUGAUCAUGGCUCAGAUUGAACGCUGGCGGCAGGCCUAACACAUGCAAGUCGAGCGGUAGCACAGAGAGCUUGCUCUCGGGUGACGAGCGGCGGACGGGUGAGUAAUGUCUGGGAAACUGCCUGAUGGAGGGGGAUAACUACUGGAAACGGUAGCUAAUACCGCAUAAUGUCGCAAGACCAAAGU
rnacentral:rRNA from 1 species